rnacentral:rRNA from 1 species
GAUGAACGCUGGCGGCGUGCCUAAUACAUGCAAGUCGAGCGAACGGACGAGAAGCUUGCUUUUCUGAUGUUAGCGGCGGACGGGUGAGUAACACGUGGAUAACCUACCUAUAAGACUGGGAUAACUUCGGGAAACCGGAGCUAAUACCGGAUAAUAUUUUGAACCGCAUGGUUCAAAAGUGAAAGACGGUCUUGCUGUCACUUAUAGAUGGAUCCGCGCUGCAUUAGCUAGUUGGUAAGGUAACGGCUUACCAAGGCAACGAUGCGUAGCCGACCUGAGAGGGGGGUAGGCCAACAGGGAAAGUGAAAGACGGCCAGGACUCCUAGGGAAGGCAGAGAGGGGGAAGGUUCGCAAAUGGGGGAAAGAUUGACGGAGCAACGGGAGGGUGGGGAAGAAGGGCUGCGGGUGGGAAAACGGUUUUAUGGGGGAAAAAAGAUUGUGAAAGUAACGGGGCAGGAGUGACGGGAACGUAAAAAGAAGCCCAGGCUAAAUAAGGG